GGGCCCGCACAAGCGGUGGAGCAUGUGGUUUAAUUCGAUGAUACGCGAGGAACCUUACCAGGGCUUAAAUGUUAGGUGACAGAUCUAGAAAUAGAUUUUUUCUUCGGACACUUAACAAGGUGCUGCAUGGUUGUCGUCAGCUCGUGCCGUGAGGUGUCAGGUUAAGUCCUAUAACGAGCGCAACCCCUGUUGUUAGUUGCCAGCGAGUAAUGUCGGGAACUCUAGCAAGACUGCCAGUGCAAACUGUGAGGAAGGUGGGGAUGACGUCAAAUCAUCACGGCCCUUACGUCCUGGCUACACACGUGCUACAAUGGUAGGUACAGAGAGCAGCCACUACGCGAGUAGGAGCGAA
rnacentral:rRNA from 1 species